rnacentral:rRNA from 1 species
GACAGAGGGUGCAAACGUUGUUCGGAAUUACUGGGCGUAAAGAGUGUGUAGGCGGUGCUCUAAGUUCGGUGUGAAAUCUCCUGGCUCAACUGGGAGGGUGCGCCGGAAACUGGAGUGCUUGAGCGUGGGAGAGGAAAGCGGAAUUCCUGGUGUAGCGGUGAAAUGCGUAGAUAUCAGGAGGAACACCUGUGGUGUAGACGGCUUUCUGGACCAUAGCUGACGCUGAGACACGAAAGCGUGGGUAGCAAACAGG